GGUAGCCUCGUGGUUGGAGCGUCCGCUUUGUAUGUGGGAGGUCACGGGUUCAAACCCUGACAGAGUCG